GCCGGGGUCUCCCAGCCUGGUAGGGAGCCAUCCCGCUUGUGCGGGGCUCAGGCCUGGAAAGCUGGUGUCCGUAUGGACGCGAGGGUUCAAAUCCCUCUCCCGGCGCCA
rnacentral:tRNA from 1 species